rnacentral:misc_RNA from 1 species
UUGUCUAGCAGCACAAGCCCAGCCAGCACUCAACACAAGAAGAAAUAAGAGCCCAACUCUCACAUCCAUGAUAACUUCGCCAAAAUUUUCCGGCGCUUAGAUUUUGUAGACGAAGGAGGCGGAGCUAGACAGCAGAGAAGGAAUGGAGACUGGUGUCCGCGAGGCUUUUUGAGUGUUGGGUUAGAGGCGUUGAAUGGCGGUUGGGUCUCCACGCGGGUGGUGCUUUUAAUUUAAUAAAUAUAAAAGGACGCCAGAUUGAAGCUGCGCUUUUCCAAUGACUAAUUUUUUACUUACGUGGCAUGGUUUUAGUGGAUCGAGAGUUUGGC